GAUGAAGAACGUAGCGAAAUGCGAUAAUUAAUGUGAAUUGCAGAAUUUAGUGAAUCAUCGAAUCUUUGAACGCACAUUGCACCUCUCGGUAUUCCGGGAGGUAUGCCUGUUCGAGCGUCAUUUGUACCCUCAAGCUCUGCUUGGUGUUGGGUGUUUGUUCCGCCUCUGUGUGUGAACUCGCCUCAAAACAAUUGGCAGCCGGCGUACUUGUUUCGGAGCGCAGCACAUUUUGCGAUCCAGAUCAACGUACAGCGGCAUCCAAGAAGCCUUAUUUAACGCUCUUGACCUCGGAUCAGGUAGGGAUACCCGCUGAACUUAAGCAUAUCAAUAAGCGGAGGA
rnacentral:misc_RNA from 1 species